rnacentral:rRNA from 1 species
ACUCAAAGGAAUAGACGGGGGUCCGCACAAGCGGUGGAACAUGUGGUUUAAUUCGACACUACGCGAGGAACCUUACCUGGGUUUGACAUGUAACUGCCACUGGUAGAAAUAUUGGGUUCCGUAGCAAUACGGACGGUUACACAGGUGCUGCAUGGCUGUCGUCAGCUCGUGUCGUGAGACGUCGGGUUAAGUCCUUGAACGAGCGCAACCCUUGUGGUUAGUUGCCUAUCGCAAGAUGGCACUCUAACCAGACUGCCUGGGAAACCAGGAGGAAGGUGGGGAUGACGUCAAGUCCUCAUGGCCCUUAUACCCAGGGCUACACACGUGUUACAAUGGCGAGGAACAGAGGGAUGCAAGACCGCGAGGUGGAGCAAAUCCUACAAAACUCGUCUAAGUUCAGAUUGUAGUCUGCAACCCGACUACAUGAAGUUGAAAUCGCUAGUAAUCGCAUAUCAGAACGAUGCGGUGAAUGCGUUCUCGGACCUUGUACACACCGCCCGU